AGUGAACGCUGGCGGUAGGCCUAACACAUGCAAGUCGAACGGCAGCACAGUAAGAGCUUGCUCUUACGGGUGGCGAGUGGCGGACGGGCGAGGAAUACAUCGGAAUCUACUUUUUCGUGGGGGAUAACGUAGGGAAACUUACGCUAAUACCGCAUACGACCUACGGGUGAAAGCAGGGGAUCUUCGGACCUUGCGCGAUUGAAUGAGCCGAUGUCGGAUUAGCUAGUUGGCGGGGUAAAGGCCCACCAAGGCGACGAUCCGUAGCUGGUCUGAGAGGAUGAUCAGCCACACUGGAACUGAGACACGGUCCAGACUCCUACGGGAGGCAGCAGUGGGGAAUAUUGGACAAUGGGGGCAAGCCUGAUCCAGCCAUACCGCGUGGGUGAAGAAGGCCUUCGGGUUGUAAAGCCCUUUUGUUGGGAAAGAAAAGCAGCAGGUUAAUACCCCGCUGUUCUGACGGUACCCAAAGAAUAAGCACCGGCUAACUUCGUG
rnacentral:rRNA from 1 species